GUGUGGUACUAGAAUGAUGGGUUAUGGGUAGUAUUAUAGGUGUGGUACUAGACAGAUGGGUUAGUAUUAUAGGUGUGGUACUGGACAGAUGGGUAGUAUUAUAGGUGUGGUACUAGACAGAUGGGUUAUGGUUAGUAUUAUAGGUGUGUUACUGGACAGAUGGGUUAGUAUUAUAGGUGUGGUAAUAGACAGAUGGAUUAGUAUUAUAGGUGUGGUACUGGACAGAUGGGUUAUGGGUAGUAUUAUAGAUGUGGAACUAGACAGAUGGGUUAGUAUUAUAGGUGUGGUACUGCACAGAUGGGUUAGUAUUAUAGGUGUGGUACUAGACAGAUGGGUUAUAGGUAGUAUUAUAGGUGUGGUACUAGACAGAUGGGUUAUGGGUAGUAUAAUAGGUGUGGUACUAGACAGAUGGGUUAGUAUUAAAGGUGUGGUACUAGACAGAUGGGUUAUGGGUAGUAUUAUAGGUGUGGUACCAGAAAGAUGGGUUAGUAUUAUAGGUGUGGUUCUGGACAGAUGGGUUAGUAUUAUAGGUGUGGUACUAGACAGAUGGGUUAUGGGUAGUAUUAUAGGUGUGGUACUGGACAGAUGGGUUAGUAUUAUAGGUGUUGUACUGGACAGAUGGGUUGGUAUUAUAGGUGUGGUACUAGACAGAU
rnacentral:lncRNA from 1 species